UGAGUAAUGUCUGGGAAACUGCCUGAUGGAGGGGGAUAACUACUGGAAACGGUAGCUAAUACCGCAUAACGUCGCAAGACCAAAGAGGGGGACCUUCGGGCCUCUUGCCAUCAGAUGUGCCCAGAUGGGAUUAGCUAGUAGGUGGGGUAAUGGCUCACCUAGGCGACGAUCCCUAGCUGGUCUGAGAGGAUGACCAGCCACACUGGAACUGAGACACGGUCCAGACUCCUACGGGAGGCAGCAGUGGGGAAUAUUGCACAAUGGGCGCAAGCCUGAUGCAGCCAUGCCGCGUGUGUGAAGAAGGCCUUCGGGUUGUAAAGCACUUUCAGCGAGGAGGAAGGUGGUGAGCUUAAUACGCUCAUCAAUUGACGUUACUCGCAGAAGAAGCACCGGCUAACUCCGUGCCAGCAGCCGCGGUAAUACGGAGGGUGCAAGCGUUAAUCGGAAUUACUGGGCGUAAAGCGCACGCAGCGGUUUGUUAAGUCAGAUGUGAAAUCCCCGGG
rnacentral:rRNA from 1 species